GUAAUACUUAGGAAUCUACCUAUUAGUGGGGGACAACAUCUCGAAAGGGAUGCUAAUACCGCAUACGUCCUACGGGAGAAAGCAGGGGACCUUCGGGCCUUGCGCUAAUAGAUGAGCCUAAGUCGGAUUAGCUAGUUGGUGGGGUAAAGGCCUACCAAGGCGACGAUCUGUAGCGGGUCUGAGAGGAUGAUCCGCCACACUGGGACUGAGACACGGCCCAGACUCCUACGGGAGGCAGCAGUGGGGAAUAUUGGACAAUGGGGGGAACCCUGAUCCAGCCAUGCCGCGUGUGUGAAGAAGGCCUUUUGGUUGUAAAGCACUUUAAGCGAGGAGGAGGCUACCGAGAUUAAUACUCUUGGAUAGUGGACGUUACUCGCAGAAUAAGCACCGGCUAACUCUGUGCCAGCAGCCGCGGUAAUACAGAGGGUGCAAGCGUUAAUCGGAUUUACUGGGCGUAAAGCGCGCGUAGGUGGCCAAUUAAGUCAAAUGUGAAAUCCCCGAGCUUAACUUGGGAAUUGCAUUCGAUACUGGUUGGCUAGAGUAUGGGAGAGGAUGGUAGAAUUCCAGGUGUAGCGGUGAAAUGCGUAGAGAUCUGGAGGAAUACCGAUGGCGAAGGCAGCCAUCUGGCCUAAUACUGACACUGAGGUG
rnacentral:rRNA from 1 species